GCCGGACGGGCAUCGGGGGCCGCCCGACGCGGCGCGGGGCACGUGCUGGAUGGGUUUCAGUCACGCUGGGAUGGAUGGCAGCGCAUCCCCAUCGCCGCUCUAAUGCUCUAACGCACAAGGCGGGAAGGGAAGAAGGAUCACCUCGAGCCUCACAGACAGCUGUUGGCAAGGAAGAUGGCGUCUGGAGGCAGAGGCGCGAAGGCAGUAGCUACCUGAAAGUACGAUCGGAUUGUUUUUCCUCCAGGAAUUACAGGAACCAUCCUUGCAGUUAUAAGUCAUUUAAUGCAAAUCAUUUAAUCCAAACAGAAUUUUUACAGGCUCAUGAGGCUCACUCAUUUUGCCAAGAGUGAGUCAUGUACAAAUAAAAUGAAACCAACAAAGAAAAGAACUCUCAUACCAUGUGUAUGUGGGUGAUCCUUUGAAAAACUGGUAAUUAUUUUUUUAACUCUGCUGCAGCCAGGAGGACAGACAGGUCUGUGAGAGAAGGGCGAGAGGAUGCGGAGCUGCGGCCCCUCGGCACCUGGCUUCCCAUCGCCCGGAGCGGCACAUGGGGCCAUGCUGGCCGGCAGCAACCAUGGCCUCAGAAGCCUCCAGAUGCCCCAACCUCAAACCAAACUGUGCACUGCCGUACUGCGCAAUCAAAAGACUUCUAAAAAAUGGAAAUAAUGUUAAGUGAUUAAUACUUAGCAGAAGAAUGCAGUAGGCAGUUAAUCCCUCACUUGAGGGUUAGUUAAGGACAUGAGUUAAACUUCAUUCUUCCCUCAGCAUGUCAUAAAUAUCUGCUGCUAAACACAGGGCACCCAACAAGCCAGCAGGGUAGUGAUGCAAGGCUCUGAAAUGACUAAAAUGUGGGGACAUGGGGUCAUAUGAUGCUGAGAGUAUCAGCUUCAAAUGUGUCAUCAAACCUGGCACACGGAACCACCCCCGCACCGCCGCACAGCAGAAGCGCAGGUACGUGCGGACACCUGAUAGCUCAGUGCCGUAGGUCCUUGUGCCACUCCCCACCAAAGAUGAGACAACAUCAGGAAAGGACACAUCACAGUGUCCCAAAGUGCCAUCCAGCCACCAACUUCACAUUCAACAUGAGGAAUGUGCCCACCACUGAGGCGGUGGAGUCACUGUCCCUGGAGGUGUUCAAGAAACAUGUAGAUAUGGCACUUAGGGACAUGGUUCGGUGGGCAAAGUGGUGAUGGGUUGGCAGUUGAACUAGAGGAUCUCAGUGGUCUUUUCCAACCAUAGUGAUUCUGCGAGUCUAUGAUACUGAACACUGCUGCUGUACCCAACCCCAUUUGCUCCACUGUCCCUUCCUGAUGUUCCAGCACCUGACUACAAGUACCCUUUAGGAACCUCUGCUUGCCCUCUCGCUAGCAGGGGGUCUCUUUGGAUGGGCAAGCUGCACCAGCCAUGCAUUCAUGUAGACUGAACAUCCACACAGAUGCUUUUCUUAGGCAGAGAACAUUUGAUGGGCAUUUAACAUAGCUGCAGCACACAUCAAGGGCCUGCAGCAAGCACUACAGAGGGAGGAGGCAGAACCAUGCAGCUCAUGUGGCCAAGAAAGCAGUGACAUUAUCCUCCUCCCUUGGAACUGAUUUGAGGUCAUCUGCAGGCACUCCCACCGCAUCAGCUGCCCAUGGAUCGUGGUUUGUUCACAAACACAAGAGUCAUGAAUUUCCUCCAAUUUAAAAGUGAGCUAAAGCCAACCUUUUUACAUGACCAGCAGCCAGAGAGCAAAUAACAUAAUCCAGCUCCAAGGUGAACUAAAAGAGAAUCCAUAAAUCUCUCAAGGCAUUAGGCUCAGUAUUUUUUUCAUUUUAAUUUUAACAAAAAGAGAGAACACGUUGGUGGAUUUCAGAUUUUUUUGUUGUUGUUCUCAAUUUAUUUUUCCUCAUUAGUACUUUCUGCCUGGCUUCCAGCCAACAACAUACCAACACACUGGGGUUGGUGGGCAGAGGAGAACAACAGUCCAGCUGAUCUUCCCAAUGGUAAGGGAUGUCUUGCACCUACCAUCAACUUACAGAUUUCCUCCUUGCUGGUUAUUUUCCUCGUUUUUCCCUAUGGGUAUUUGAAUUCACACUGCCCGCUUAGCAAAUCUGUUCAUACACAAAUGAAUUUGUCUUUCUCAGAAAUAUUACAAACUUCAUGUGUCUUGUUUUGAUGUUUUUUGGGAGAGGAGCCACUCAUUUGUUUAUACACAGCAGGCAGGCAGAUAGCACAGACCAAUAAAGCAUGAGGAAGCAGCUGAAUCACAUGGCUGCCUAGCACGCAUCGUCUGGUGGGCAGAGGAGCCCCAGACCCAUUGCUCAGGAAGGGUCUUACAAACGUGCAGUUUUUCCUACUGUUUGCAAUUUCCCAAGCUCCUUAUUUCCCCAAGCCUCUGAAAUAGCAUGUGUCACAGUGCACAAGAACAUGGGGAUUGAGGACAAGUAGAGUUACAGUAAAACAGCCCAAGGGUCAGUAAUUUAAGAUUGCUGUGGAGGCUCAUGAUUAAAUGAGACCCACACCUUCUGGCAAAAAAAAUAACAAAGUAAUAAUAAUCCAAAAUGUUUCACUUAAAAAACCUUACAGUAAAUGUGGAAAUCAGAGAAGAAUACACAUCCUUUUUCAUGCUUUAGCAGCUGUGACUCAGCACAGCAGAAAGCAUUCUGUGUGUGUCCCUCUUUACACCAUAAAUGACCAGUGUUUUUCCAUACCUCAAAACUACUAGGCAGGAUGCAAAUAAAUACAGUAACUGCAGAGUAACUUCAUUUUAUUAUUAAUGAUAGCUGAGGCCAGCCUGUGCUAAACACCAUGAAGGUCUCAAAGUUUUUUAGUGGCAAUUGAAGGCAUUUGGCCAACAAUAUAUAGACUUUGUCUGGGGCAAAUAUCCGUUUACUGUAAAAAUGUGAUACUAAGUCACUAAUACAAUAUAUUAUUUAAUAUUUUCCUUCUUCUCAUACAAUCUAAUAAUCUAUGUCUGUUUCAAGACUUCUGGAGAACCUAAAAAUACCCUAAUGUAAUACCCUUUUUUUUUUUUUUUUGCACAGACAUCUAAUUCCAUUCUAUUAUCAGAAUUGAGGGGGAAUCACAGUGGAUGUGUGAGAACAGAAGAGGCAUGUAUGAAAAUCCAGGCAAACAGGAAAGAAAAAUAAAUAAUGAAGAGGAAAGCAAGAGAGAGAAACAAACCUAGAGGCACAAUCUAACCUCCAACGCACAGUUCAUAUCACCGCAUAUUUCAACAAAUAUCCAUUUUUGAUCUCGCAUGAAAAAUACAGCUCGGAAUUUUUUCCAAGUUACGCAGGGAUGCACAUGGCACCACAGGACAUUAAUGCUUGGUCCACAAAACCCAAUGAACGAGGGCCAAAAAGAAAAAAAAGGGAACGGAAAGAAAAACAGCAAGAUUAAGUUAUCAAAAAGAAAAAAAAAAAGAAGAUCUGCAUUUCUGAACUGCAAUAACAAAGUCUUUGAGAAGACAGUCUGAGCCCUCCUACACUGAAGCAGGCUUCCAGACUAAAUAGGGAUUUGUGGAUAUUCUCCUUUUUAUUGCAAAAGCAGUUUUAGUAUAAAAGACUGUCUGGACUGUCAUCAAAGGAUGAUGUGGAGGUUCAAGAAAGUUCAGAACGGAUCAGACAAUUUAUGGUCGAUAAGUCUAUCAAUGGCGAGUAAACAUGAUGAUGCAAUCCUGUGAAAUCUCUGGCUCAGGAAAUUCCCAUAACCUCUGACUGCCAGAAGUUAGGAAAUUCUACACUUAUCCUAUUGCUUCCAGUCUUUUGGUAAGCAUCCUCUAUUUGUCACCAUCAGUCCAAGGCAUCUGGGCUAGAUGGGCUGCUGGAAUAAAUAAAAAUGGUGAUUCAUA